rnacentral:antisense_RNA from 1 species
UUUUAUGGGAAACAGGGGGCGGGGAGCCUUAUGGCUCGCUGGUACACGUUUCCAGUCUGCUAACCCGCCCUUUUGUUUCCCGCCUUG